AUUGAACGCUAGCGGGAUGCUAACACAUGCAAGUCGAACGAGUGGCGGACGGGUGAGUAAUAUAUCGGAACGUGCCCAAUAGCGGGGGAUAACUACUGGAAACAGUGCUAUACCGCAUACCAUCGGAGCGGCCCAUAUCGGAUUAGCGAGUUGGUGGGGUAAAGGCUCACCAAGGCAACGAUCCGUAGCUGGUUUGACAGGAUGACCGGCCAACUUGGGACUGAGACACGGCCCAGACUCCUACGGGAGGCAGCAGUGGGGACUUUUGGACAAUGGGCGCAACCCUGCUCCAGCCAUCCCGCGUGUAUGAUGAAGGCUUCGGGUUGUAAAGUACUUUUGGCAGGGAAGCGGUCCCCGCAGAAUAAGCACCGGCUAACUACGUGCCAGCAGCCGCGGUAAUAC
rnacentral:rRNA from 1 species